CCUACGGGGGGCUGCAGUGGGGAAUAUUGGACAAUGGGGGCAACCCUGAUCCAGCCAUGCCGCGUGUGUGAAGAAGGCCCUCGGGUUGUAAAGCACUUUCAGUGAGGAAGAACACCUGGUGGUUAAUACCCAUCAGGAAAGACAUCACUCACAGAAGAAGCACCGGCUAACUCCGUGCCAGCAGCCGCGGUAAUACGGAGGGUGCGAGCGUUAAUCGGAAUUACUGGGCGUAAAGCGCGCGUAGGUGGCUUGAUAAGCCGGUUGUGAAAGCCCCGGGCUCAACCUGGGAACGGCAUCCGGAACUGUCAAGCUAGAGUGCAGGAGAGGAAGGUAGAAUUCCCGGUGUAGCGGUGAAAUGCGUAGAGAUCGGGAGGAAUACCAGUGGCGAAGGCGGCCUUCUGGACUGACACUGACACUGAGGUGCGAAAGCGUGGGUAGCAAACAGGAUUAGAUACCCGUGUAGUC
rnacentral:rRNA from 1 species